CAGUCGCCGCGGGAAUACGUAGGUGGCAAGCGUUGUCCGGAAUUAUUGGGCGUAAAGCGCGCGCAGGCGGAUUGGUCAGUCUGUCUUAAAAGUUCGGGGCUUAACCCCGUGAUGGGAUGGAAACUGCCAAUCUAGAGUAUCGGAGAGGAAAGUGGAAUUCCUAGUGUAGCGGUGAAAUGCGUAGAUAUUAGGAAGAACACCAGUGGCGAAGGCGACUUUCUGGACGAAAACUGACGCUGAGGCGCGAAAGCCAGGGGAGCGAACGGGAUUAGAUACCCCGUAGUCCCUGUCUCUUAUACAC
rnacentral:rRNA from 1 species